UUUGGAUUAAUAUUUCAUGCAAAAUCAACCAAUGGAUGUACAAUAGGAGAGAAGAUUAGCAUGGCCCCUGCUCAAGGAUGUCACGCACAAUUUUUUUAUUUUUUAUUUUU